rnacentral:rRNA from 1 species
GAUGAACGCUGGCGGCGUGCCUAAUACAUGCAAGUCGAGCGAACAGACGAGGAGCUUGCUCCUCUGACGUUAGCGGCGGACGGGUGAGUAACACGUGGAUAACCUACCUAUAAGACUGGGAUAACUUCGGGAAACCGGAGCUAAUACCGGAUAAUAUAUUGAACCGCAUGGUUCAAUAGUGAAAGACGGUUUUGCUGUCACUUAUAGAUGGAUCCGCGCCGCAUUAGCUAGUUGGUAAGGUAACGGCUUACCAAGGCAACGAUGCGUAGCCGACCUGAGAGGGUGAUCGGCAACACUGGAACUGAGACACGGGCCAGACUCCUAAGAGAGGCAGCAUGAGGGAAGCUUACGCAAUGGGCGAAAGCCUGACGGAGCAACGAAGCGUGAGUGAUGAAGGUCUGCGGAUCGUAAAACUCUGGUAAUAGGGAAGAACAAAUGUGGAAGUAACUAUGCAAGUAUUGACGGUACCUAAUCAGAAAGCAACGGCUAAAUACGUG